rnacentral:tRNA from 1 species
GGAGGGUUCGCAUAGCGGUCUAGUGCGCACGCUUGGAAAGCGUGUGUGGGGUCAAACCCACCAAGAGUUCGAAUCUCUUACCCUCCG